NNNNGAUCUGGCUGCGACACGUGUCACCCCAUUGAUCGCCAGGGUUGAUUCGGCUGUUCUGGCUGGCUAGGCGGGUGUCCCCUUCCUCCCUCCCCACUCCAUGUGCGUCCCUCUCGAAGCUUGGUCGAAGAGGACGACCUUCCCCGCUAGAGGAGGACUGAUCUUCGGACAAGGGUACACGAGUAGCUGCGCUCCCCUGUUAGAACCUCCAAACAAGCUCUCAAGGUCCUGUCUUGAUUACAUGUGUGCAUGCAAUGCAUAUCACAAUUUGCACGCACAAACUGU
rnacentral:snRNA from 1 species